rnacentral:tRNA from 1 species
UGGAGGGAUGGCUGAGCGGUUGAAAGCGCUGGUCUCGAAAACCAGUUGGGGAGAAAUCUUCACGCGAGUUCGAAUCUCGCUCCCUCCGU